rnacentral:rRNA from 1 species
UACAGAGGUCCCAAGCGUUGUUCGGAUUCACUGGGCGUAAAGGGUGCGUAGGCGGUCUUGAAAGUCAGGCGUGAAAGCCCCGGGCUUAACCUGGGAAUUGCGCUUGAUACUCUGAGACUGGAGUACGGGAGAGGAGAGUGGAAUUCCCAGUGUAGAGGUGAAAUUCGUAGAUAUUGGGAAGAACACCGGUGGCGAAGGCGGCGACCUGGUCCUUGACUGACGCUGAGGCGCGAAAGCGUGGGGAGCAAACAGG